UACGUAGGGGGCAAGCGUUAUCCGGAUUUACUGGGUGUAAAGGGAGCGCAGGCGGGAAGCCAAGUCAGCUGUGAAAACUACGGGCUUAACUUGUAGACUGCAGUUGAAACUGGUUUUCUUGAGUGAAGUAGAGGUUGGCGGAAUUCCGAGUGUAGCGGUGAAAUGCGUAGAUAUUCGGAGGAACACCGGUGGCGAAGGCGGCCAACUGGGCUUUAACUGACGCUGAGGCUCGAAAGUGUGGGGAGCAAACAGG
rnacentral:rRNA from 1 species